rnacentral:rRNA from 1 species
UUUAAUUGAAGAGUUUGAUCAUGGCUCAGAUUGAACGCUGGCGGCAGGCUUAACACAUGCAAGUCGAGCGGCAGCACAGAGGAACUUGUUCCUUGGGUGGCGAGCGGCGGACGGGUGAGUAAUGCCUGGGAAAUUGCC